GUGCUCACUUCAGCAGCACAUAUACUAAAGUUGCAACGAUACAGAGAAGAUUAGCAUGGCCCCUGCACAAGGAUGACAUGCAAAUUCGUGAAGCAUUCCAUCUUCUU